CCAUUUGGCAGCCAAAGUGUUCGGACGUUAUUUUACAAUAAAAAUUAAUUUCCGCGUUUAAUUUAGCGUGGAAUAAAUCAAAUUGUAUAAAGUUUAAUUAAAAUAUAUAUAUCAUAAAUAUAUAUAUUUUACUUUUUUUUGUUUUUUUUUUGUUCAUAUUAUAAAUAUUUAUUUAAAUAUUUACAAAUCAGUGUGCCGGAAAAAUUAGAAGAAAAAAAAACAAUUUUAAACGUGUCGAUAUAAUAAUUUAUUUAUUUUUUUUUUAAAUUAAUCUAAUUUAUAAAUAAAAAAUAAACGAUAAUAAUGGCUGACCAGGAGAAUAAGGAUUUUAGCGAGGACAUUGCUGAUCAAUCAUUUGAGCAACAAAAUGGUGAUGCUAACAACACCACAUCUAAUACAACUACCACCACAACCACAACCAACACCAAUACUACAGCCGCUACAAAUAAUGGAAAUAGUGGUAAUGGUACUGCUGAACCAACUGAAAAUGGCCAAGAUUCACAAGAAGAAAGGACUGCUAAUGCAAAUAAUCCAAUAUCAAUUAACGAGAGAUCUAGAAAAUUGUUCGUUGGAGGACUUAGCUGGGAAACACAAGACAAGGAAUUAAGAGACCAUUUUGGAUGUCAUGGAGAUAUUGAAAGCAUCAAUGUUAAGACAGAUCCAAAUACAGGAAGAUCUAGAGGAUUUGCCUUCAUUGUCUUUAAAGAUCCUGCAUCACUUGAUAAGAUCAUGGCAGCUGGUGAUCAUGUUAUCAACAAUAAAAAAGUCGAUCCAAAAAAAGCUAAAGCACGUCAUGGUAAAAUAUUUGUUGGUGGUCUUUCAACAGAAUUAUCAGAUGAUGAUAUUAAAAAUUUCUUUGGACAAUUUGGUACAAUUGUCGAUGUUGAAAUGCCAUUUGAUAAAACAAAAAAUCAAAGAAAAGGAUUUUGUUUUAUUACAUUUGAAUCAGAACAAGUUGUUAAUGAUCUUUUGAAAACACCAAAACAAAAUAUCAAUGGAAAAGAGGUUGAUGUAAAAAAAGCAACACCAAAACCAGACGGUAUGGGUGGCAUGAGAGGUGGUGCUGCUGGUAGCCGUGGUGCAAGAGGUAGUGGACGUGGUACUGGUGGACGUGGUAGAGGCUUUGGUGGACAAGGAGGCUGGGGUCAAGGUGGAUAUGGAGGUGGUGGCUAUGGUGGUGGAUAUGGACAAGGCGGUUAUGGAGGCGGAUAUGGAGAUGGCUACGAUUAUUACGGCGGUGGGUACGGCGGAUAUGGUGGAUAUGGUGGCUACGACUACAGUGGAUACGACGGCUAUGGCUAUGGCGGUGGUAGUUACGAUGAUGGCUACAAUGGUGCUCGUGGUGGUGCACGUGGUAAAGGAGGCUCAGGCUACGGCGGCAAGCAGAGGGGUGGUGGUGGUGGCGGUGGUGGUGGUGGUCGCCAGAACCAAAGGCACCAACCCUAUUAAUGGAAUUUCAUUAAUCGCGUGACCAUCAAUGCAAUAAUGUAUUGUUAAACCGCUGGUUCCCAUACUAAAUCUCAUAAUGCGUCGAAUCAUCAUUCCAUUAAACCCCGUCAUUAUCAACAACAAGAUCGCAGACAACAGCCACAAGCCAACUACUCUAAUCAAGAUCAUCAUCAUCAACAGAAACAGCAAUAGUUUAUCUGAUUGUUUAUUUAAAAAAAAAAAAAACAAUUUUCUUUUUUCUCUCUUAAAUUAUCUCUC
rnacentral:misc_RNA from 1 species